GACGAACGCUGGCGGCGUGCUUAACACAUGCAAGUCGAACGGAAAGGCCCUGCUUUUGUGGGGUGCUCGAGUGGCGAACGGGUGAGUAGCACGUGAGUAACCUGCCCUUGACUUUGGGAUAACUUCAGGAAACUGGGGCUAAUACCGGAUAGGAGCUCCUGCUGCAUGGUGGGGGUUGGAAAGUUUCGGCGGUUGGGGAUGGACUCGCGGCUUAUCAGCUUGUUGGUGGGGUAGUGGCUUACCAAGGCUUUGACGGGUAGCCGGCCUGAGAGGGUGACCGGCCACAUUGGGACUGAGAUACGGCCCAGACUCCUACGGGAGGCAGCAGUGGGGAAUAUUGCACAAUGGGCGGAAGCCUGAUGCAGCAACGCCGCGUGCGGGAUGACGGCCUUCGGGUUGUAAACCGCUUUCGCCUGUGACGAAGCGUGAAUGACGGUAAUGGGUAAAGAAGCACCGGCUAACUACGUG
rnacentral:rRNA from 1 species